rnacentral:rRNA from 1 species
GUGAACGUUACAAACUGUUGCCUCGGCGGGGUCACGCCCCGGGUGCGUCGCAGCCCCGGAACCAGGCGCCCGCCGGAGGAACCAACCAAACUCUUUCUGUAGUCCCCUCGCGGACGUAUUUCUUACAGCUCUGAGCAAAAAUUCAAAAUGAAUCAAAACUUUCAACAACGGAUCUCUUGGUUCUGGCAUCGAUGAAGAACGCAGCGAAAUGCGAUAAGUAAUGUGAAUUGCAGAAUUCAGUGAAUCAUCGAAUCUUUGAACGCACAUUGCGCCCGCCAGUAUUCUGGCGGGCAUGCCUGUCCGAGCGUCAUUUCAACCCUCGAACCCCUCCGGGGGAUCGGCGUUGGGGAUCGGGACCCCUCACACGGGUGCCGGCCCCGAAAUACAGUGGCGGUCUCGCCGCAGCCUCUCCUGCGCAGUAGUUUGCACAACUCGCACCGGGAGCGCGGCGCGUCCACGUCCGUAAAACACCCAACUUUCUGAAAUGUUGACCUCGGAUCAGGUAGGAAUACCCGCUGAACUUAAGCAUAUCAAUAAGCGGAGG